UCAAACCCUAGACCGAAGGGGUAAAAAGAAGCAACGCAGCCGGCUCCUCUCUCCCCGCUCGUCUCCUCCUCUCCCCCACGCCGCCCCUCCUCUCCCCGCUCGUCUCCUCCUCUCCUCUUCCCUCGACGCCGACUCCUCGCUGGCCUCCGCCUUCCCUCUCCGCGUCACCCCCGCAAUCCUUGCCGCCGCCUCCUCUCCUGCCGCCGCCACCUCGGCCUCGUCUCCUCUGUGCUGCCUCCUCCUCUCCACUUCUCUCCGCCACCGCAUGGCCGCCGCCGCUCGUCUCUUUCUUCACGCGACUCCUGUAGGACGAACCAUCCCCAUCCUCCAUCAGCCGCUGUUGUGCGCCGUGGUUCUUGACCGGCCGCAGGUCUAGGAGCAGAGGAGGACGGCGGUGGGGGGAAGGAAGAGUGCGGCCCGGACUCAGCAGGAGGAGGGGAGCAGCAGCAAAUCGGGCUUUAGGUUAGGCGAGGCUGGUGGUGCUCAGGCUUACGCACCACCAAAGGAUUUUCUCAUCGUGAUUGUGGCGUGCACUACGUCGAUGUGGACGGAGCGCGGGACAAGGUGACGGUGACUGGCACGGCGAGCCAGAAGAACGUGCUGCGCGCGGCGCACGGGGAAGCUCGCCCACUACCCUCCUCCACUUGUUCUCGUCUCGGUCAGGCUGGUGACCAGUGCCAGCACCGCUGCCACAUGUCGCCCACGCCCCUCCUCCGCUCGCUCUCGUCUCGGUCAGGCUGGUGACCAGUGCCAGCACCGCUGCCACACGUCGCCCACGCCCCUCCUCCGCCUGCUCUCGUCUCCGUCAGUAUGCUGAUGUUCAUUCCAUUGGAGCUGAGUCUCCUUGCCGGCGACCUUGCCAUCAAUUGCCUAUCUGCAGAUCGGAGAAAGAAGAGAUGAAGAACAAUUUUAGCUGAAGAGUUGAAGAAGCCAAGGUGAAUUUUAACCGUCUUGCAAACCCAAUCAAGUUUGCACUUGCAUUUUGAUAAUAUGAUUUGUGUUGAUGUGAGCACGAGUCCCUCUGAAGUGCUCGACCACCGGCUGGUUGCAGUGGAAGUCAGCAUCACUUAGCCGUGGCCAUCCCGGGCGCCGCGAGAAUUAGCUGAAAAAUCUUGCUGAGAUCCAGGUCACGGGCCAUCCCCAUUUAGGUGGCUAUGAAACUUGUUCCUAACGAAGAUAAAUUUAUGGAGGUGGUUAGGGGAACAGGAGGAGCAAGUUUGGCCUGGCAGGUGCUUCUCAGGUUCGAUGGCUUCCAGCAACAUCAAGAUCAUAGUGCUUUCCUCUUAGGUUCGGCCUUUGACAUUAAGCUCAAAAUCUACAUGUUGUCGAUUCGAUAAGAGAAGGCAAGGAGCUGUCCGCGAUCAGUAUGUAGUAAUGGGCAUCAAAGUUUUCUUACACCGGUGAUUCUGAAGCCGUUAAAUUGAUAUGAUCGCUUCACUCCCCUCCUAUACUCCUUUAGUCCAUUUAUUCCUAGACUAUAUGUUUUUAUUUUGUUAAAACCUUGAAGUAUUAAGAUGUUAGGGUAAAUUCUCUCACAAAGCUUGCUUUCUCCAUAGUCAUAUGUACAUGUGUUACUUUAUUUCCUAUAGCUAUAUUGCUAUUUCCCUCGGGACUUAUCCCCCUUUUCCUUCUUUAUAGUAGCAUGAUCAGGUGAAGGAAAGAAAAAUGUGUUUGAAUUAUCGUGUGGGUCUUUAAACAAUUAUGUGUGUCUUUAAACAAUUAUGUGUAUGGAGUAAGAACUGUAUAUAUAGCUAUUGAAUAAGAACUAUAUGUAUAGUUAUCGAUAUAUGUUUCUUGCAUCUUAGGGGUUCAAUGGCACCCGUCUCAUGUUUCUUCCAUGUGAUUUUUUACCCGAAUAUUAGGAUCACAACUUAACUUAAAUUAGCAGUAUAGUGUCAAUGGGCAUCAUUUGAAGCUAAUAAGAUGUUGUUACUGAAGAACAGCCCCUUGCUACUGGCAUAGUACGUGAAAAACACCCUAAAUAGAUUAAAGAAAUCAUGCUUGACUGUGAUUGCAUUUGGUUGAUGCUUAGGUGUAUUUCCCAUCGGUACAUCAAGGUGGUAAUCUUCUACAUUUCAGGUCCAAGCUUUCAAUGCAUUUUUCUAUCUUUUUUCAUAUCCCAGUGAUCAUCUGCAAGGCCGAAUUAUGCCAUUGUUGAUGGUGCACAGGUCUGUUGCAUGGUAAACCCAGUAUUGGCCCUCCUUUCAAGCUCUUGUGUUCAUCCUAGAGAAAAUUCUGGAAAAUACAUCUGAACUAUCUUUUUAAUCUUCCAAUAGUGUACUCCUACGAUUAUAUAUAUGGAUACAUCAAAUCGAUGUGUCUAGGGACCUAAAGCCUUAAGAGUUAAGUGCCAAACUGGGGACCAAUGUCAUAACUACAGAUGGGAUUUAUUCAGUUAUUUUCUUGCCUAGAAUGAUGAUGUAUGCAUAUGGGCGUUGUUCAGUCAUAAGAGCUUAUCGGUUCAGCCUGCAUAGUUUUGUUUCUUCAGUGUACUGUGUCUGAGGAAAACAUUUAUUUUGUUUCCUAUUUAAGUGAAUUCAUGGAUGAGAUGGACGAAUUUCUAUUGUGUGGGCUGGAGGUUCUUGAGGUAGGGUACCAGCACUAGCUAAGGGUAAAAUGUAUGACAUGCUUGAUGAGCAUGCAUGUCUAUAUGAUUUUGUGGCACUGAUUUGUUCCAUGCCAGUUUAUUUCCAGCAGUUGGUCUCCUUCUUCAUAGAGAUUUUAUCAGUAUACUAAAUUAAAUAAGAAACUGAAUGUAUAUUGCUUUCACCUUCAGUUCGAACAUGAUUUCUUAUUUAUGACAUAGGUGGAAAUUAGCAAGCAAGCUACAGUCGGUCCAUGGAUGACCAAGUUUACAGAUUACUUUAUGAAGAUGAUGAUUCCUAAAUAGAAUUACGAGCUAGGUCCUGCAUGUUGAUCGUGCUUCAAGGUAGUGGCAUCUUCAGGAAAAAGUAGUGGCAGAUAUACUGGAGACUACUGCCCAAAUCCUCAGCACAUAUUUUUUUAGUAACGGAGAGGAUUAUUCACCUUUGCGGCUGUAGGCGUUCAAGACCUGGCAGGGCUGGGUCAACCGGCCCUUUGUGUUCAUGACCCGGCUCUGAUGAGCCUUAACAGCCGUGCUACCGGCUGGGCAUCUUCAUCCUGAGCCGUGUCCAGAACAAGACCAGUAGGGGCACCCUGAGCGAGUACUCGAGGCAUGCUGUCAAGUUGGAUGAGUGCAACCAGGCGAGUUGCCGUGUGUGUCCACGGUUCAUAUAGUCAAGGUGUUCGCUCAUCUUGGGCCAGAAUGAGCACUACAAGAGGAAGCCCCCAAUAUUUUUCAUUCUUUGAUAGAUGGUUACAUUGUUGUAUGUUGGUUAAAGACAAUGUUUUUCUUCUCGAAUUAUGAUACCUCAAACAACAGUAAGAUAUAACCGUUUUAUUUGUUUUGCAAUGAAAGCUUCCAUCAAAUAGUAUUUUAGAAUUGUGCUCCGUCUUAGGCUAUUUUGUACUCCCUCCGUUCCUAAAUAUAAGUCUUUGUAGAGAUUUCAAAUGGACUACCACAUACUGAUGUAUAUAGACAUAUUUUAUAGUGUAGAUUCAUUCAUUUUGCUUCGUAUGUAGUCAUUUGUUGAAAUCUCUAGAAAGACCUACAUUUAGGAACGAAGGGAGUAGAUUCAUACAAGAUACAGUUUGUGUGCAUUGAAAUAGCAACAAGUUGGCCUCUCGGUCUCAUUUCUGUAUGCAUUUGACUCGUACACGCAACCAGCGUGUCCAUGUGAUUUGGAUGAAUUUCUCUACCCUGUUUUAUGUUGUGAUGUCUUUGAUUUUUGUCUCUUCCAGAUUUACAUAGAGAUGCCUCGGUGAAUACUCAAGAUUUUUGUGUUCUUUUCUAUUGACGGCCUUUAGGUUUUUAUUUUUAUUUUUAUAAUGUUCUGAAACGAGGUCACACCUACUAAUCUUGCUCUACAGGCUAAUGGCAUGAUGCUAGGUCAAGAAUGCAGGGUGAGCAAAAUAAGACUAUGAACACUUUUAUCUCUUUGUUCAUCUAGAGCAUAUGGAGGGAGCAAGAUAAGGGGCUUUGACAGUGUCUUCACACCGCCUCAGAGGGGGUGCCACCGAGGGCUUUCUCAUGGAACGCGGUGCAAGGUGGUUUUACGGUGCACUAGGGGAGCAUGGAACGUGGUGCACUGGGGGUGCCACUGAGGGCUACCCUGCACGCUGGUCUUCUACUACUUUCCCAGGCCUAUUACUUCCCCUGAGAUGGUUCUAAGGGUUCUAUUCGACUCUAUUAUAUUUUUUUCUUUUUUGAUUGCUUUUCCUUCUCUGUUUCUUUUUUUAUAUGCAAGGCCAUAAAAUUUUACCAUGCAUCCUUGCUCACACAGAAAAUUACUUCAAAACACACAUGCUUCUAAAAAUGCACAUCCUUUUCAGAACUAUGUAUAUCUUAUCAUCAAAGGUUAUAAGGCAGAAUGUGUUUGCCCACAACUAAAACAAGUAAUACAUUGUACUUCUUCAAAUCACACGUGGAAUUAGCGAGCUCCUUCAGGUAUUUCAAGGAAAAAACAGAAUCUGUUUAACUAAUUUUCUAUAUUGCUUAUUUAUGCAUUUGUGACCAUAGCUUUCCACUUUAGCUCAUAAACUAGAUGGCAAAAUAGAGUUUGCCCAUUUCAUAUCUAUGUUGCCUUAUUAGGAAAAUAGAGUUUGUUUUAUAGCUUAUGCUUAAUAUGUUUGUUCGAUUGGUGAAUGCUCAACAUUACCUCAUAAACCGGAUGGCAAAUGCUAAUUCUGAUGGGGCUUUUGCCACUUCUUUUUUUAUGGUUGUCUAGCCAGCUGAUGGCAUGCUUCUUUCUUGCUAAUUGUCAAUUCUUUUGUACAUGGCCCCUCAGCUACUUAUGCUUUGCUAGACAAUGAGAGUAUGUAGAUAGCAUGUAUGGUUUUUACAUUGUCUUGUGCAGGUUGAGAUGCAUCACAUGAUGUUUUCCUUUUACAUGUAUGGCUAUUACAGAGUCCUUUCUUUUUCCACAAGGGGCAGUAGUUGUGCCAUUCGAUUCGAAGGACAAAGAGUUGAUCACAAAGGGGUACUGAAUAUUAUCAAAAUGAAUAUGAGAAUGGGUGCAUGAGAGGAAUAUUGUGGAACAAUCCACUGGCUAACAAACUUGGCAUGGUGGAGGAUGGCCUAUCUUAUUCACCCAUCAAGAUGUCCAAAAGGAAGAGGGUGAGUGCAGAUCCUCAAGGAGUACAAACUAGGUAUUUGGAAAAGGUAGCGAUACAUGUUAAAUCAGAUAGAUUAGCAGCCACAGAAAACACAGGCCCAACUAUACCACACUUCACCCCUACUCCACUGGCCAAACCCCUAUUAGAACUGCUGAGAGCCCAACAUCAGAUGAAUCUCCUUGCUCAAAGGAUCAUAGGAUCUCACAACAAUACUGGGC